GAGGCUCUCGUUGGAGUGCGCAUCACGUCACGUCACGUCACGUGCGGACACUUAGGGCGCAUCCCGCUGUGCGAUGGAGAAACCCGCACACUGUCGACACAUUGUAGCGUAUUAAGACGCGCUUUUCCCAAACGACGACAAAACG